rnacentral:rRNA from 1 species
CACGUAGGCGGUCUGUUAUGUCGGAUGUGAAAGCCCUUGGCUCAACUGAGGAAGUGCAUCCGAAACUGGCAGGCUGGAGUACGUAAGAGGGUCGCGGAAUUCCCGGUGUAGAGGUGAAAUUCGUAGAUAUCGGGAGGAACACCGGUGGCGAAGGCGGCGACCUGGGACGAUACUGACGCUGAGGUGCGAAAGCGUGGGGAGCAAACA